rnacentral:rRNA from 1 species
GAUGAACGCUGGCGGCGUGCCUAAUACAUGCAAGUCGAGCGAACAGAUGAGGAGCUUGCUCCUCUGACGUUAGCGGCGGACGGGUGAGUAACACGUGGAUAACCUACCUAUAAGACUGGGAUCACUUCGGGACACCGGAGCUAAUCCCGGAUAAUAUAUUGAACCGCAUGGUUCAAUAGUGAAAGACGGUUUUGCUGUCACUUAUAGCUGGAUCCGGGCCGCAGUAGCUAGUUGGUAAGGUAACGGCUUACCAAGGCAACGAGGCGUAGCCGACCUGAGAGGGGGAUCGGCCACACGGGAACGGAGACACGGUCCAGACUCCUACGGGAGGCAGCAGUAGGGAAUCGUCCGCAAUGGGCGAAAGCCUGACGGAGCAACGCCGCGUGAGUGAUGAAGGUCUUCGGAGCGUAAAACUCUGUUACUAGGGAAGAACAAAUGUGUAAGUAACUAUGCACGUCUUGACGGUACCUAAUCAGAAAGCCACGGCUAACUACGUG